rnacentral:lncRNA from 10 species
CUACGUUGUGUUGAGCCUGCAGGCACACAGAAUGCACAAGUGAAGGAGGCUUGGCAGCUUCCACCUAGAUUCCAGAGGAUGUAUCAGAGGAAAGCCUUGGUGCUUGCCGCAGGGUGGAGCCUCCACAAAGAUACUUUCCUAGGGCAGUGCUAAGGGGAAAUGUGGGGUUGGAGCCCCACACAGCGUCCUCACCAGGGCACUACCUAGUGGAGCUGUGAGAAGGGGGUUGCUGUCCUUCAGUUGGGAAAAUGGUAGAGCCACUGGCAGCUUGCAUCCUGAGCCUGGAAAGCCACAGGCACUCAACUCCAAUCCAGGAGAGCAGCCACUCGGUGGCAGUCUGCAUAGCCAUGGAGGUGGAGAUGCCCUAAGUGUUGGGAGUCCAUCCCUUGCACCAGUGUGCUCUGGUUUCAGGACAAGGAGUGAAGGAUUAUUUUGGAGCACUAAGGUUUAAGGCUCAUAGGUGGAAGGACUUGCCUUGAGUCUCAGAAGAGACUUUGGACUUUUGAGUGAUGCUGGAAUGAGGUUUGUCAAAGAUCAGCAUUCUUAUACACCAACAACAGACAGAGAGCCAAAUCAUGAGUGAACUCCCAUUCACAAUUGCUUCAAAGAGAAUAAAAUACCUAGGAAUCCAACUUACAAGGGAUGUGAAGGACCUCUUCAAGGAGAACUACAAACCACUGCUCAAGGAAAUAAAAGAGGAUACAAACAUUCCAUGCUCAUGGGUAGGAAGAAUCAAUAUCGUGGAAAUGGCCAUACUGCCCAAGAUACAGAUUUAACCCUUUCCAGUACCGGCGGGAAAGAAAAAUGCUUGGAGAUGGACUCCCAGAGGAACAGGAACAUUGUCUUACUCAUCUUUCUCUACCAAGUAACCAUCAAAAGACUUGGCACUAGGUAGGGCUACUUCUUCAAUGGAUAAAGAUGGCAUCUGAAAGCUUUCCCUCAACUCCUCCAGGACUGUCUUCAGAGCAUGGCUUGCUGUGGUUAAACCCUUCAGAGAUCUGCACAGAAUUUUUCUUAGUACAUCACAUCACAAAGAGAGGCAAGGCAGAGGAGUUCUUAAGAAGAGCAAUUGUGGAAUCAAGCAGAUGCGGAUUUGAAAUCUGGCUCUAGCCCAUACUACUUUUGUGAUCUUGGAUAGGUUACUUAACCUCUCUAACCCUCAGUUUACUCUUCUGUAAAAUUCCUACUUUAACAAGGAAUGGAAAUGGAUUAAAUGAGAUAGUCCAAGGGAAGCACCAAGCUUGAAGCAUACUAAAUGCUCAAUAAAUUCUGGCUAGUAUUAUUUAGUCAAUAUGUGAUUUUUGAACAAGAGGGACCAUGAGAAAGCUGACUGGCACGUGACUUCCCUUUGCUGAAUAAACUGUCAUUUUCAACAAGAUGUGCAUUAACAAUCCUAUGUUUCCUAACAUAGGUUUACAUAACAACACAGCAUAAAUAUAGAGACCUUUUUAGGCAAAGAGCAAGGGCUGCUUGCUCCAACCUACAAACCAGCUAGGAGCAACUGAUCAGUCAGAAGGUUAAGCAUAUUUCUAGUAUGAAAUGGACUGUGGGAAGAAUGUUAAACAUGGUAGUUAAUUUUUUUCAUCUUUAAAUAUGGAAGAAAAACACAAGUACAGCAGUUCAUUGUGGUAUUCAUUUUGGAUUCUUAAAAAAUGGUCUAUAUGUUAUUUGUUAAUGAUACUUUCUCAAAUUAAGAUGAACUGUAAAGAAUCUUCAUCAUAAAGGGCUUUAAAAUAUAAAUUAUAUACAUAGAUUACAUUUCUAGUAAUUAACCAAUAUUGUGUCAAUAGAAGCCUUUACAAGGUCACCUUGAUCUCUAACAAGUACUGUAAACUGCUCACCAGUGUAGACUUUUAGCUGCUUCUCUCCAUCGUAAUCAAAUUCAGGAAAUUACCUGACACCAAAGCCAAUGGUAUAGGAAAAUUAGCAUUAAAAUCCCUUUGAAGAAUAUGGUACAAAGAAGCAGCCAGGGGUUAAAAAAGCCUGUGGUAGAAAAAAACAAUUUUAUUUUUCAUUGCAGGAAGUUACCAGAAAGAAUAAAGUGAAUGUUGCACAUUGCAAGAUUUCUCUAUCAUUAAAAAGUAAGUAAGAAAGAAAAGCCCCACAACAAAUCAGUUGGGAUGAUUAAAAUAGCUUUGGCACUGCUCCAACCUUGAAAAAUCCUUCAGCGCGGUGACUCAUGAUGAUCCAAUCCAAAAAAAUGUGUGAGGCCGACCAGGCAAAAAGGCAAGGAGCAGCUACACCGGAAAAUUAGCACUCCCUAAUCCUCUUCAAAACAGUUGAUGAAGGAGAGACUAUUUGAAUAAUUUGAACCCCAAUUUGAAUAAUUCAUACCUAUUCUCAUGUGUGGCUGGCUGAAUAGAGACUCUCACUGACUGCAUUCAUUUCAUCAGGAGUGUUUACCUUGUACAUUUUUUUCCCCUGGAGAUUGGUUAUGUGGCCAUUACACGUAUCUAAUUGUUUUUCAUUUUGUAAAUGUAAGAGCUUAUCAUUUAUCUAGUUAAGGUACACUGUUACUAGAGCAUUUAAUAUGAUUGAUUGCCAAACAGAAGGUGCAUCCUUUGUCAGAUGUUAAAGUGACUGUUGAUUCUUUAACCCCUAGGGAAUACGACGCCAGUAUAUUUGGUUUCACAAAGUUUUAAAUCCCCUUUUGCAAAUGUUAAAAUUAAACUUCCCCCUCAUGUGAACAAAAUAUGCAACAUAAUCUGUGCUCUUGUGACCCACUUAAUUUCAUAUGAAGAAUUCAAUCACUUAGAAAAAGUUUUUGAGACAUAGGUAAUGAUGCUUCAGAAGGUACCCCAGGAAGUCAAUUUGCCAAAUCCUAGUCCCAUAGAAGCAGGAGGGAGCUUCAAAGUUAUAUGCUUCACUGCCCUCUCUUCAGAUGUGAGAGCACCUAAUUUCCUACAAACUCAAGGUAACAACAUGGGCUCAGAAGUCACGCGCUUAAAUUAAGCAACAUGGCUGCAAAAAACGUUGAUGGCCAAUGUUAAUGAAAUUAAAACAAGCAAAACAAUUUGAACCUCUGAAAAUGCAAUUUUCACAUCAUAGUUAAAAAUUAUUAUUUAUUUUUUCAUACCACAAAGUGCUUUAUUGUUAGGGCACUGGUUUAAAUUAAAAAAGAAAGUGUGUUGACAGCAACAAAAAAAGAUUGUGAUCUACUGAACAAUUUUUGCAAGCACAUUGUUUCUUGGGCCACUUUGAGCAGCUGACCUAAAAAAUAUUAAUCGGAUUAGUAUCUAUUCUGCUCAUAAAAAUUUCUUAUGAAAGAACAAGUCUGUUGCAAGCCAUCUCAAUUUAUACAAUUUAAUAUCAAGAUAUUCUAUUUUACCCUUAAGAUAUUUCAAACAUGCACUUUUCCUUUGAAUUGUAACAAUGGGGCUAUAAAUAAUAAGGAUUUCUUUAUGUUUUUCUUCUGUGAGUACAUCACAGAAAAUAUCCGUUUUUAAAUAACACUAUGAAAUUGAUGGCUCCAUAUCUUACAGAUAACCUAUUGUGAACUCUGAAUCAUUUUGCCAUAUCAUUUUUGGAAAUUUAUCCUCAAGCCUCUGUUUUUGUAUUUUUUCAUGUGUUUAAAAAUUAUAAUUAUAUACUUAUAUUCUGAAUGUAUUCUUAGUGAAAAAUACGUUGGUUUUUAAACUUAAUAAUAAAAACUUGUAACUUUCCAUGUUCUCAUGAAAAGAUAAUGUUACAUGUCCAUUGUAGAGAAGUUGAAAAAUACAGAAAACAUUUGUGAAAUAAUAUUAAAAGCACUUAUAAUUCAACUAUCAGAAAUAACA